UACAGAGGGUGCAAGCGUUAAUCGGAAUUACUGGGCGUAAAGCGUGCGUAGACGGUUACAUAAGUCGGAUGUGAAAGCCCCGGGCUCAACCUGGGAAUUGCAUUCGAGACUGUGUAGCUAGGAUGCGGAAGAGGGAAGCGGAAUUUCCGGUGUAGCGGUGAAAUGCGUAGAUAUCGGGAGGAACACCAGUGGCGAAGGCGACUUCCUGGCCUGUUCUUGACGCUGAGGCGCGAAAGCUAGGGGAGCAAACGGG
rnacentral:rRNA from 1 species